CCCUCUCUACUUCUCUCUAAAGUUUUAGACUAUGUUCUAAUGAAUUUGGGUAUUUCAGGGUGUGUUUGGUUGCACCGUUGUUUGUGAAAUGUCAUGGUAUUUUGCACCAAAUUGGACUGACUGAACAUGGAAUGUCAUGAAAUUCAUGAUAUUUGGUACAACCAAAAGCACCCUAAAUUAUGAAAAUCAUGAAGAAAAAAAGAAAUAAAGUUAAAAAGGUAAGGUAGUGGGAGGAGUAUUACAUUGAACGUGAGAAAGUGGUUCCCAAGGGCAUUGAUAAUACCAUAAGACCCAUAACUUGAAUUUUGAGAGAUGAUCACAUACACUCCAGUGGAAUUUUUUUGUAAUUCCAUCUUGGGUACGGCGCAAUGUCUGCCUCUGCCACAGGGGGGUUGGAAAUUGGAAUGGGAUUCGACAGGAGUGAAAUGGAGAAGAGGCCCUUCCAUGCACCUGAUACAUUCAUUGGUUGUCGUGAGCAUUUCCUGACCCAAAAAUCAGGCCGGCCCACUCAUCAUGUCAUCUGCUGAAAUGCAUUUUGAACGUGGACUGUUGUUUAGUUUUUCUGUCUUUUUUCCUUUAAAAAAAGUGGCCUAAGGGAUGGGUGGACUGACCUGAUUUUUGGGCUCAGGUAUGUUCAAGGAGGUCACCACCUGAUGAACCGCCGGGAUCUGCCCUGGAUGGCCCCUUUACCCAUUCAAUCAAUCCUGCCCCUUUGUGGGGCUCAUGGCCUAUGCUACAAUAAAAUACCAUCGCUUGACAGAGUCGGUUUCAUUAGGUGAGAUAUAUUUGUAUUAUUCUCAUUGACAGUAAGUUGGGAUUGGCAUGGCAGAAACAGAACCCCUAACAGAUUUAUUGAUUUAAAUUCAAUACAAAAGCUACCCAACAACUUGUAGAAUAAGCUCAUUAUAUGACAUGGUGAGUGAUAUCGUUCUCGCAUCCAAACAGUCCAUAAGGUGCAUCCCUUCAAGUUCACCCCAUGUCCCAAGAAUCAACCCAAUCCAACACACAGGUGGGUUACAUGCCACUGGAAACAUUUGGGAUGUGAAGGCCCACAAUUAAAGCCUUCCAGAUUGAAUGUGGGGCCCAUCAUGUUUUGCAUAUGCCGUCCAAUCCAUUUAGAAGAUCCACUAGCAUGAAUGGACACGGAUACCCCAAGGUUCAGGCCAUUCCAAAACUCAAGUGGGCAACACCAUGUGAUUUUGGAGUUUUACUCGUGAUUUUACAUGGUGUGGCCCACCUGAGUUUUGGAUCAUCACAUUUUUUUUUUCCACCUCCAAGGAGAGCAUGAGUGGACACACGUGAUGAACUGAUUAAAUGUCAUGCACACAUCAAGGUAGGCCCCACACACCAUGUUGUCGAAUAAGCUUAUUUUUACAAACGUAGUAGAGAACUGUUCUCAACAAUAAAACAUACAGGACCUGCCAGAUUCCUUGAGUAAAGCAAAAAAAGAAUAGGAUAGGCUCGCAAGCCAUACAAAAUAUGCAUUUUGCCUUUGGCAACAAUGUCCAUGAAAAUUUGGGCAAGUUCCAAUGUUUUGCAUCAUAACAGCAAGGGCCUGAUUUCGAGAUACUAUGAGACAUUGGCUGCUAUGUGCUGCACCUGAUGGAGAGCUCAGGUCAAUCCAUUGGAUUCUCACUAUUCCAAUACAAGUAGGAGUGCUAUAACUUGUAGUUCUCUAAGAGCAGCGGAUCAUUUCUCCUAUAAUACAUGUAUGCAUGCAGUAUUCCGAUACAAGUAGUACUGUAACUUGUAGUUCUCUUACAGCAGCAGAUCAUUCCACAGUCCCUGCCAUGCACACACCUAUACACGUGCCCCCAUCCACCCACUCUAUCAAGGACCAAAAACAAUAAAGUAUUAAAUGAAGGUCUUUUAUAAAAGGGUGAAGCUUUGUUAUACUAUUUUAAGAGAGGAAAAAUAGAACUUUAAAUAAAAUAUUUAAAGAUCAAGAUCCUCAUAAAAGAUAUGGUAGGUUUGAUGAAUGGUGGAUUAAGACAUAAUUACUUCAGAACUUAUAGGGUCUUUGUGCAUCAGAACAUGAAUUGUCUCAAUGCAUCCGUUUUGGAAAAAUGGAGUCCAUUGUUCAUAGAUCUAGAUGGUUGAUGGUAUGCACCCUCCAUGGAUGGGGUUUGACCUAUAUUCUUCCCAAUUUUAAGAUACUGACGCUGUUUUUCCAUUUGUCUAGACUGUUGUUGUAUAUUCUCCGUAACUGUUCAUUUUUUGGCUGCUCAUAGAAGGGCUUGGAUCUUCCAACCUAGGAGCUCUUUGUGGGUUGCCCCAUCCAUGAUGCUGUUUUAUCAGAUCAGUGAUCUGGAUCAUCCACCAAGUCUACUACUUCAUAAACUAGUGCAUCAGGACACUACUCACAUUUUAAUGCAUCAGAAUUCAUAAUUUCUCCAGUUCCUUACAGUUUUCUCUUGUAUUUUUGAGGAGAGAUUUGAGAAAUCACCAGCUGAGCUCGAGAUGGGAACCCACCCAUCUAAAGCAUCUCUACGUUACAAAUGGUACCUUUUCUGAGGCAUUUGAGACCAUUGGUAUUUGGCAUUAUCGCCUGGAAGUGAAACAAUAUAAAAGAAAUUGUAGAACAAUCUCACUCUCUGAAUGUUUGCAAAGUUCAACAAGUAAAUGUGGGUUGGUGCU